rnacentral:rRNA from 1 species
CACGUAGGAGGCGAGCGUUGUCCGGAAUCAUUGGGCGUAAAGAGCGCGCAGGCGGCUUGGCAAGUCGGGUGUGAAAUCCCGGGGCUCAACCCCGUGACUGCAUCCGAUACUGUCAGGCUAGAGGUAGGUAGGGGAGAUCGGAAUUCCUGGUGUAGCGGUGAAAUGCGUAGAUAUCUGGAGGAACACCGGUGGCGAAGGCGGCAUCCUGGACCAACACUGACGCUGAGGAGCGAAAGCCAGGGGAGCAAACGGG